GAAACUUGUGGUGUGCAUCUGACGGGCGAAAUAUUGGACACAUCAGGCAGCAAUGGGAAUAUCACAAGUUGUUAACAAGAUGUGGUGCCUUGGCCCUCAGUCUCUCUUCUCCAUGCCAGAUGGCCAUUAUGAAGGAUUAUAAAUGUGUGGAUUGUCGAGACAAACAUUGUGGUUCCUGCGGUUUCCUUAGUUAGG